GACGGAAGGUGCAAGCGUUGCUCGGAAUCACUGGGCGUAAAGGGUGCGUAGGCGGCUUCUUAAGUCUGGUGUGAAAGCCCAGGGCUCAGCUCUGGAAGUGCACUAGAUACUGGGAAGCUUGAGUAUCGGAGGGGAGAGUGGAAUUCCUGGUGUAGCGGUGAAAUGCGUAGAUAUCAGGAGGAAUACCGGUGGCGAAAGCGACUCUCUGGACGAUUACUGACGCUGAGGCACGAAAGCGUGGGGAGCAAACAGG
rnacentral:rRNA from 1 species